GACGUAGGGUGCGAGCGUUGUCCGGAACUAUUGGGCGCAAAGAGCUCGUAGGCGGUCUGUCGCGUCUGCUGUGAAAUCCCGAGGCUCAACCUCGGGCUUGCAGUGGGUACGGGCAGGCUAGAGUGCGGUAGGGGAGAAUGGAACUCCUGGUGUAGCGGUGGAAUGCGCAGAUAUCAGGAAGAACACCGAUGGCGAAGGCAGUUCUCUGGGCCGUAACUGACGCUGAGGAGCGAAAGCGUGGGGAGCGAACAGG
rnacentral:rRNA from 1 species